ACGAACGCUGGCGGCUGCUUAACACAUGCAAGUCGAACGGAGUGGCGAACGGGUGAGUAACGCGUGAGCAACCUGCCUAUGACAGUGGGAUAGCCUCGGGAAACCGGGAUUAAUACCGCAUAGUCAAGGAUGGGCUCGCGUCUGAUUAGCUAGUUGGGGAGAUAACAGCCCACCAAGGCGACGAUCAGUAGCCGGUCAGUGAGAAAGAACGAACACAUUUGAGCUGAGCCACAGUCCAGACUCCUACGGGAGGCAGCAGUGGGGAAUAUUGCACAGUGGGGUAUACCCAGAUGCAGCGAGGCCGCGAAAACUAAGACGGUAUUCGUAUCGUAAAGUUCUGUCCUAUGGUAAGCAGUACCAUAUAAGAAAGCUCCGGCUAACUACGUGCCAGCAGCCGCGGUAAUUC
rnacentral:rRNA from 1 species